rnacentral:misc_RNA from 1 species
UUAAGUUCAGCGGGUAUCCCUACCUGAUCCGAGGUCAACAUGUGUAAUGUAUUGGGGGUUAAGCGGCAGGAUCGUCUCACGGUCCUGGCGAAAGAAAACUUACUACGCCGGGGCACGCGAGGCUUUCCGCCAUUUGAUUUCGGAAGGGAGGGUAGCUGGUACCAUCCUCUCCCAAUACCAAGCACAAGUGCUUGAACCGU